AUACGUAGGGUGCAAGCGUUAAUCGGAAUUACUGGGCGUAAAGCGUGCGCAGGCGGUUUUGUAAGACAGAGGUGAAAACCCCGGGCUCAAACUGGGAACUGCCUUUGGGACUGGAAGGCUAGAGUACGGCAGAGGGGGAUGGAAUUCCGCGUGUAGCAGUGAAAUGCGUAGAUAUGCGGAGGAACACCGAUGGCGAAGGCAAUCCCCUGGGCCUGUACUGACGCUCAUGCACGAAAGCGUGGGGAGCAAACAGGAUUAGAUACCCUGGUAGUCCACGCCCUAAACGAUGUCAACUGGUUGUUGGGUCUUCAUUGACUCAGUAACGAAGCUAACGCGUGAAGUUGACCGCCUGGGGAGUACGGCCGCAAGGUUGAAACUCAAAUGAAUUGACGGGG
rnacentral:rRNA from 1 species